UUACUUUGCUGUUUUUUUAGUUUUUUAUAAUGUGUGAUAUAUAAAAUAUAGACAUCUCUUCACCAACACCUCGGUUUGCGUCAAUUUUAUCUGUCAACGUAUCUUAUCAAAAGACUUUGUCAAUAUUUUUGAAAAUAUAACCUAUAAUUGCAGUGACAGCAGAUUGUUCGAUCUUCAAAUAAAUCCUGCUUAUAAUGACUGGCACUAGGGCCACUAUGAAAGCUGCAAGAAAUAUGACUGCAGAUAGCAGCCCUCGAAGCGGAACUACCCAGAGGCAGCCAUUUUGUCAUGGAAUGAGCAACAG